rnacentral:lncRNA from 1 species
AAAUAACCUGUGAUCUUUAUUGCAUAUAAAGCAAUAAUGUUCUUGGAAUCCUAAAUAACACAAUGACAAUCAGUGAGAAUGCAGCUUGCUAGACUAGGUUCCUCUGCAUAUAAUGAGUUGGAUGAAAGCUUGACAUUUCAAUAAGCAUUAAAUAUAUAGUUGAUAUAGCACUUGAAGAAGGCAGCUGUAAAUUAUUUCUUAUCACAGCUUCAGUAGACCACUUACAUUUUAUCUGCAGAAGAGAAUUUCAGUGGUUGCUUUAGAUGUGACUGCUUAAAUUCAAAGAAGAAAAUGUUUUAACCAGGACACCUUUUCAUCUACUUCUGUUUUGAUGAGGGUAAUUUAUGCUCUUAUUAAAUCAUCUAUUAGUAAUCAGGUGAGAAAAGACAGAAGGUAAGCAUGUUGGAAAUUAAAGUAGAAAGCAUUAAGAAAGGUUCCCAUAUUGUGUUUUGCAGGCUGCAGAAUGUGGUUUUAACAUUGCAGCAAAGCCAAGGAGAGACUCUCCUCUACAAAAGCAGAAGGUCCAGCUGAUUUCAACCGGCUCCAUAUGGGCAGCCACUGAGCCACAUACCUUCAGUCCUGGAAGGAUUCUUUCCCAGACAUGCAGGAAAAGAGUAAACGAAGAAACAUGAAAACAUCAUUUCUGGAGGAGAAACAGCAUGAAACCAAUCUGGCUGCAACAUGUAUGUUUGUAAACACUGGACCACAUUCUCAACUGCAUAGCUUCAUUGACUUUGAUUAGUAAAGAUCUGGUCUACUGGUUUUCUCUCAGAUAAAUAUUAAUGUGCACUUACUUCUGUCUCAAAAUGGAUCUCAUUGAUAUCAAAUGCAGAAAGGACAGCUGAAACAAGG